AUAAACUACGAAUCUUCAGUUUGACAUUAGUAAUGUUGAAAAAUAUUCCUUAAUUAUACUGCCAAAAAAGUAGAAAGUCAAUAAAUUUACUUAAUUGAAGUGAACUAAAAAAUUAAGGUUUUGCUUUAGAUUAUAAAAAUACAUAUAGAGGUGCGCCAGCCCGGAGCAAUUUUUUGCUCUAAUAGAAUUCAUGGAAAGGUAUCUACUUUAAAAAAAAUACAGUUUUGAUUCCAAACUUACUUCAAUAUUCUUAUAAUAUACAAUGAAAUCAUAUCAAUACCAAGUGCUUCGUUGGUGUGUGUUACCUAUAGGUAUGGUGACCUCAGCGGUCGAGUAAAAGCCGACGAAAUAUGGGCAAGGCUGACAGUCUUACUAAAUUCAAUCGGUGGUGGGGUACCUACAUAAAUCACAAGAUAAGUGGAAGAAAGUACGUUUGAACGACGACUGCGACUGGAUUUGCGACCAUUUUAUUUUUUUUAUAGACCUUAUGUAAAAUAUUUACUGUGUUAUAUGUUAAAAUGUUUUUGAGCGUUUAUUUUAGAUUAAUAUCUUUAUAUUUUAUAGGAUUUAUAAUUAUGUACUUAAUUUAUUUUAAGAGUUUGAUCAUGUUUGAUUUCGUUUUAAGAAUGUUAAAUAAAACAUGUAAUAUGUAUGAUAAGAUGAUAAUAGUAUAUUUUAUUCCUUAAUAAGUUUAUACCACCAUGAAUUCAGUACACACAUUUUUAAAUAUGAACAAAAAAACAAUAACAAAAAUUACAAACUUAAAAAUAUAAAAAA